rnacentral:rRNA from 1 species
UACAGGGGGUGCAAACGUUGCUCGGAAUUAUUGGGCGUAAAGCGCGUGUAGGCGGCUCGGCAAGUCGGGUGUGAAAGCCCUGGGCUUAACCUAGGAAGUGCACUCGAAACUGCCAAGCUUGAGUUCUGGAGAGGAAGGCGGAAUUCUCGGUGUAGAGGUGAAAUUCGUAGAUAUCGAGAGGAACACCGGUGGCGAAGGCGGCCUUCUGGACAGCAACUGACGCUGAGACGCGAAAGCGUGGGGAGCAAACAGG